GACGAACGCUGGCGGCGUGCCUAAUACAUGCAAGUAGGACGCAGUUGCGAACGGGUGAGUAACGCGUAGGUAACUGCCUAUUAGAGGGGGAUAACUAUUGGAAACGAUAGCUAAUACCGCAUACUAGUAGAUGGACCUGCGUUGUAUUAGCUAGUAGGUAGGGUAAUGGGCUACCUAGGCGACGAUACAUAGCCGACCUUGAGAGGUGAUUGGCCACACUGGGACUGGGGCACGGCCCCAACUCCUACGGGAGGCAGCAGUAGGGAAUCUUCGGCAAUGGGGUGAACCCUUGCCGAACAACGCCGCGUGAGUGGAGAAAGUUUUCGGGGCGUAAAACUCUGUUGUUAAGGAAGCGGUACUUAACCAGAAAGGGACGGCUAACUACGUGCCAGCAGCCGCGGUAAUAC
rnacentral:rRNA from 1 species